CGCGAUUUUGACGAAGGAGGAUGGACACAAUCGCCGAAAUAAAGGAGUUCUUCAACCUUCCGUCGCCGACCAUCGGAGUCCACCAACCAUCGGGAAGUAUAGGAGGGGUACUCUUAGCUAGUCCCGAUCCAUCCUCAUCUUCAUCCGCAAGCCACAAGCUCUGGGUACCAUCUUCACCGUCCAGACGCGCACAGCAGAGGACGCGACUUCAGCUUCUCCAUCCGCCUUCCGCCGGCCACCAGAGUUCCUUCCACCGCUGGAGUAGGGUCGUGGGGGUCACUACUCUAUUCUGCGUCUAUUCCAUCCAAGCUUCGGUCACAAUUCAACCAUCUCCGCCAUUAUGUCUUCCGUUACAGAGUGCUGCUGAAUCUGGUAUGAGGAUACACAAGGACAAUUUACUGAGCCAUAUCCAGCAUAUCAGAGGUCACAUGGAUUUCAUGAUGAUUAUAUGUCUACCUAUUCACAUCCAUUCAAUUAGACCGAACCAGCUCCUUGGGGGGUAUUUCAAGAGAGCACUGAAGAAGUUCAUGCCCCUAGUCAAUCAAUAUUUCAAGAUCUGAAGGAAGUUAUACAGCAAAUGCAGCAACAACAAGAGGCCUAUAUCCAGUCUCAACAAAGAAAUGAAGCAUCAUUACAGAAUUGCCAGAUGUAUCUAGAUCAAAUUGCAGCAUCCAUCAGCCAACUACAAGCCCAAUUAUCUAGUGAGGAGAUAAAUUCUAGAGAAUGUCAUAGCCCUGACCCUGAUUGUACUCCUAUACAGGACUCCUCUAGCCUUUUGUGUGAUGAUGUUGCAAUUGUAGAUUAUUUUAAUUUUGAUAAUAUUGUUGUUGUAGAUAUUGUUGAUGCAGGUGUUUUUGGUGAUGUUGAGGAUCUAGCUGAGCCUGAUUAUACAUCUAUCGCUAAGGAAAGUGUAGGGACUUGCAUGGUGGAAGCAAUGCCCCAAGAAUCACCUAGUUUUGUUGCAUGAUCACCUGAUGAUAAGAGUGUAGGGACUUGUGCUGUGGAGGUAGAGCCCUAAGAAUCACUUCCUUUUGAUGCACCACCAGAGACUGAGCUAUUACUUGAUGAAGAGGAGGUUACAGUCAUCAUUCUAGAACCUCCAGAUAUCUUUCAACAUGACAAGGAGAUUACAAGCUUUCAGAGUGGAUGCUUAAGUUGAACCGCCUUCAAUCUCCGGGAAGGAUCAUUCCACUACCGACAUGGAUUCUACUUCUAAAUCGUUUACAACCACCGGGAAUAAAGAGGAGUUUGUUCAUUACUUUUCUUUUUGCUUUACACUUAUUUUACUUUCAUACUUUAUAUUUGCACCUUGAUUCUAUACUUUGCAUUUUGUUUAGUCUACAUAGCAUCUCAUUUUGAAUAAAACUCUCCAUGAAAUUAUCCUACUAAUACUUUUAAGAUGGUAAAAGUUUCUUAAAUUAGACCAUUAAGCUCUAGGUCAUUUUACAUGAUUGAAUACUCUACUUGCAUGCUAUUGGUUAGUGUGGUGAUGGAUUCUAUUUUAAUUAAUUGAGUUUGAUGGCAAAUAUUACCUAGAGAGGACUAUUCAAAGCCUAUACUCUAUUAUCUUUUUGAGUGAAAUGCACUCAUGACAAUUGAACUCUAGAACUUGCUUUGCUUCUUUUCAAAAUCACAAUAUCAUUGAUAUGCAUGAAUAUGAUGAAGGAUAUUUUCUUUUCCAUUCUUUGAUUCCUAUUCCCAUUCUUUGAAUUCUUUUCCUUUUGAACUCUAGUUGAAUAAAUCUUUUGUCACCUUGCUUUGCUUUCAUUCCAUUGAGAGUUUUGGUUGAUUUUCAUGAUGAGUUGGAUGGUUUGAGAUGGAUAAAAUUCUAAGUGUGGGGGAGGAGUUAUUUGUAUUAAGUUCAUAGAAGCCCCAAUUUCUUGAUGUUACAACCUUAGAGAGUGGUCACUGUUUGGCAGUGAUAGUUCUACCACCAAAAAUUUGCAGAUUAUGAUGGAAGUGGGGAGUGAUUUUGUGUGUGUGUGGUGGCUCCCGUCCUACAAUGUCAUUUGGUGCUUAUCCUUCCCAUGAAGCUCACUCUUUAUUGACUCAAAAACCUUUAGAUUAAUUUGAGGUUCUCUUACUAAAACUAGACAGAAAUCUGUCUUCUGAAACUGUAAAUGCAGGAAUUAAAAGAGAGUAAGAGGUUUUGAGUUACAGAAAAGAAAAAGAAUUGAAAAAAACUGUUUGAUGCGAAUCUGUGAAUGCAAGUUUUUGAUCAAUAAGAGGUUUAAGUGGAGCUUGAGGCCAUUCAGCAGCAGAUCUUCUCCAGAAUUGGCAAUAGCCAUAGACAGAUUUAAUUCCUGAAAAAAAAAUUACAUAUUCAAAUUCCAGGAACUUGGAAACUUUUUGUAGUGAAGUUCAUCAAGAUAUUGCUGAAUUUGUAGAAUUUGAGUGGAUUAAAUUUGAUUUCAGAAGUUGAGAUGCAGGAUUUGAAUUCCUUAGUUCAUCCUUUACAAUUUCUGGGAUUUUAUCUUUUCUAUUAUUGAAUCUACUGAUUCCAGGAGCUGUGUGAGCAGUUGAACUAAAUUAGUAUUAUCCACUAUUGUACAAGAGCAAAACUAGAAGAGAUGAGUUCAAGGAAAAGAGUUAUGGGACGCUAACAAAUUGUUGGAGUACUGGAAUUUUGCAGAAUGUGUAGAAUUGAAAUUUGAAAAUUGAUAUAUCAAUUGUGUGUCAAGUUUUCUUUGCAUCCUUCUAAUCAUUGGGAAUUUUAAAUUGAGUCUUAGAUCUCUCAUAGAGAUAUGGUGAUGUCACUUUGCCCACUCUUUCAUGAUUCAAAGUUUAAGCUUCUUUAAUUCUGAAUUUCUGAAACUGGCUUUCUGAGUUUCUUUGAAUCUAAUUGCUUAGGUCCAAAUUUCAGAAAUGUUGAAACCUAAGGUGGAUCAAUCCAUUGAGUUUUUGCUGAAUCAGUUUCUAAAACCUGAACCUUAGGUAUUUUCAAUCCCUUGAAUUGGAUGUUUGAAUCUGAUCUUUGAGGAUGGAUUGAAGCUGAUGCAACUCGAGCCUCUAUAAUAAAAAUUGAAAUGCCAAGAAUCAGUUACUAACAGAAGUGUGAAACAAAUCAAAUUCAAUAAGAUUAUCCUCGUGAAAGUAAGAUAUAGAUUGUUGGAAAGCUAAAGUCAUAAAUUGGGAAAAUGUUGAAUUAACAUGAAAUUUGGAUAGUAACAAAUACUGAAUCCUCAAGACUUGAGUUUUUGAACUAACCUCUUAAACUCAUUGAAGUUGAUUGUUUGAUUUAAGUAUCUGAAUAUCUGAAAUUGCCUUUGAAGCAAAAUGUCAUGAAUUGCUGGAAAAAGAGUCAACUUUGUUUGUCUCUCCAACCAUACAACAGGAUGGUAUUUUCUUUACUGAUCAAGAAAUAAGAACAAUGCACAGCAGAAACCUGCAAAAAUAUAGAAUCAGUAAAUGUUUGGCCAUCCAUUUCAAAAUUCUCUAACAGGAGACAACUUUAAUUAAACCAGAACUAAUUCAUUGACAUUUGAUGAACCUUCUUUUCUGAAACUAUCAUGAAUUGAAGCAUGUAAUCUCAGUGGAUUCAAUUCUUGAAACUAACUCCUGUUUCCAAUUUUUGUAUGGUAUAAACUCUGAAAAAAAUCAGAAGCUGUUAUUCACUAAUGCUAAUGGGAAAUGGAGAAGAUUACUAGCUUCUAUAUCAGUCCAAGUAUUUUUCCCAUCCGACAUACAGAUUAGGAAUUUAGAGGAUUGGGAAAUGUGGGCAUGUUGAGCACAGCCAGUGUGGAUUCUGCAACUCAAAGAGCUUGACAGAAUGUUAUAGUUGCUGAAAUUUCAAUGGAACACUUUGAUAGGCUCUGGAAUUCUGAUACAAGAAGUGAAGUUAGUUCCUUGAUAUUAGAAUAGGAGGAAACAACAAAUUGAAACUCAUUGCAUGAGGUUUACAAUUCUGAAACUAAGUCAACAGAGAAAGGAAAAACUGACAAGUUCAAGAAUCUGAAUUCUGAAACCAAAUUUCUAAACCUAUGGCAAUUGAGGAAUUUGAUUUUCUUUAGUUGUUUCAGCCGGCUGGAAGUUUGUUUAAAUUUGGUUGUUUCUUUACUUAUGUUCUUCAAGUGUCUAAUGAAACUUGAAGAAGCCUUAUUCAUGAACUGAUGCAACCGUCUGAAUAAAAAUCAGAAACCAUUGUGCUUUCUUUUCAUUGUUU